rnacentral:rRNA from 1 species
UGCAUUCGAAACUGGCAGGCUAGAGUCUUGUAGAGGGGGGUAGAAUUCCAGGUGUAGCGGUGAAAUGCGUAGAGAUCUGGAGGAAUACCGGUGGCGAAGGCGGCCCCCUGGACAAAGACUGACGCUCAGGUGCGAAAGCGUGGGGAGCAAACAGGAUUAGAUACCCUGGUAGUCCACGCCGUAAACGAUGUCGAUUUGGAGGUUGUGCCCUUGAGGCGUGGCUUCCGGAGCUAACGCGUUAAAUCGACCGCCUGGGGAGUACGGCCGCAAGGUUAAAACUCAAAUGAAUUGACGGGGGCCCGCACAAGCGGUGGAGCAUGUGGUUUAAUUCGAUGCAACGCGAAGAACCUUACCUGGUCUUGACAUCCACAGAACUUUCCAGAGAUGGAUUGGUGCCUUCGGGAACUGUGAGACAGGUGCUGCAUGGCUGUCGUCAGCUCGUGUUGUGAAAUGUUGGGUUAAGUCCCGCAACGAGCGCAACCCUUAUCCUUUGUUGCCAGCGGUCAGGCCGGGAACUCAAAGGAGACUGCCAGUGAUAAACUGGAGGAAGGUGGGGAUGACGUCAAGUCAUCAUGGCCCUUACGACCAGGGCUACACACGUGCUACAAUGGCAUAUACAAAGAGAAGCGACCUCGCGAGAGCAAGCGGACCUCAUAAAGUAUGUCGUAGUCCGGAUUGGAGUCUGCAACUCGACUCCAUGAAGUCGGAAUCGCUAGUAAUCGUAGAUCAGAAUGCUACGGUGAAUACGUUCCCGGGCCUUGUACACACCGCCCGUCACACCAUGGGAGUGGGUUGCAAAAGAAGUAGGUAGCUUAACCUUCGGGAGGGCGCUUACCACUUUGUGAUUCAUGACUGGGGUGAAGUCGUAACAAGGUAACCGUAGGGGAACCUGCGGUUGGAUCACCU